GCUGCCUUUAGAUCUUCAUACCUGCGGUUUAGACUCACAAUGACUUUCCCCAUGGGUACCUGAUCAUUUUGCGGCAAACGAGAACCAUCUUUAGAAUUCAAAGACAUGAUUCAUCUUCUUCUAAAUUCUCGCGGAUCACGAGCUUAUCGCUUCAUCCAGCUGGAGCUUAUCAGACGUGCCGGUGUUGGACUUUGAAUCUCCAUUUUCCGCAUCGCGAUUGGCAGCCUCGGAACUUGUGGGCAAGAGGCUUAAAUUCUCAAUCGGUUCUGCCAUGGAUAAGGGAUGGUUGAAAAGAAUUGAUUGAUGAAAUUCAAGAAUAGUGUGUGAAUGAGAUGAUGUUGAAAAUGGAACAAAGGUUCUGUGCUAGUUUUAAAGUCUCGUUUCCAAACCUUCACGUAAGGUAACAAAAAUAUUCAUUACUUCAUUCUUUCUAUUAUCAUCCUAAAAAGCCAAUAGCUUCUUCAGUUUGUAAAGGUUUAGAAGAAUAAAUUAAACGUGGUUUAUCAUA